rnacentral:rRNA from 1 species
AGAGUUUGAUCCUGGCUCAGAGCGAACGCUGGCGGCAGGCCUAACACAUGCAAGUCGAGCGCCCCGCAAGGGGAGCGGCGGACGGGUGAGUAACACGUGGGAACGUGCCCUUCGGUUCGGGAUAACUCAGGGAAACUUGAGCUAACACCGGAUACGCCCUUCGGGGGAAAGGUUACGCCGAUGGAGCGGCCCGCGUUGGAUUAGCUUGUUGGUGGGGUAAUGGCCCACCAAGGCUACGAUCCAUAGCUGGUCUGAGAGGAUGAUCAGCCACACUGGGACUGAGACACGGCCCAGGCUCCUACGGGAGGCAGCAGUGGGGAAUCUUGCGCAAUGGGCGAAAGCCUGACGCAGCCAUGCCGCGUGAAUGAUGAAGGUCUUAGGAUUGUAAAAUUCUUUCAGCGGGGACGAUAAUGACGGUACCCGCAGAAGAAGCCCCGGCUAACUUCGUGCCAGCAGCCGCGGUAAUACGAAGGGGGCUAGCGUCGCUCGGAUGUACUGGGCGUAAAGGGCGCGUAGGCGGAUGACCAAGUUGGGGGUGAAAUCCCGGGGCUCAACCUCGGAACUGCCUCCCAAACUAGUCGUCUUGAGUACUGGAGAGGUGUGUGGAGCCCCGAGUGUAGAUGUGAAAUUCGUAUAUAUUCGGACGAACACCAGGUGGCGAAAGCGACACGCUGGCCGUUGCUGACGCUGAGGCCCCAAAGCGUGGGGAGCAACAUGAUAGAUACCGUGAUAUUCGU